rnacentral:tRNA from 1 species
GCCGAAGUGGCGAAAUGGCAGACGCGCCAGACUCAAAAUCUGGUUCCCGCAAGGGAGUAAGGGUUCAAGUCCCUUCUUCGGCA